UGGGCAUAUGUUCAACUGUAAAAUCACAACAACACAUCGCAAUUGGGGGGUAUGUGAAGAGGACUCUCUUCAGUGACCGCUAGUUAUAGAAAAGGUUUGAAAUAAUGUACACCAAUAUUUUACCUGAUUAACUGAAAAGUGAAUCAUACUGAAAGAAUAUUGAUGGGGAAAUGCAUUUGGGAUAAGUUUUGCGCAAUGGUCGAGCAAGCGUCUUGAUCUGCAGACGUCAACAAAUUUAGUGUGACAGUUUCACGAGCUGAUAUUUUUCGUUUUGAUAUGCCUCUAGAAUUUUGUAAUUUAAUAGUCUGACAUUUAUGGCAGAAAUGUGUUGUGGAUCAGCAGGGAUACUGUGCCGGCAAAAUGUGAAAUAUGUAUUCAGUUGAUUUUUAUGAGUUUUGUUAUGUACCACAUUCUCCAUUUUAACUACGUCUUUAGCCAAGAACAACGACAUUUAUCUCAUCAACACUAAAAUAUCUGCCGGUAUCCUGCAUGCUGUACUGUUGUGGAAGCAAGGACAAGGAGAAGCAGCGCUCGGACGCUGCUGAGGUGUCGAGAAUUCUAGAGACAGAGAAAAACCGAAAGAACCGUGAAAGCUCACCACAACCACUGGAAAUGUACGGAAUAGCGGGAAUACCCGAGUUUCUACCCCCCUCUGGUGUACUCCAGCCCAGCUCAGUAAUCCCACUCGAGUCUGGUGAGGUGCCUGGUUUGGGGAGUCGAUUCAACAGGGGUGUGCUGAGCUUUGACUCCCCCCAGCGGAGACGAGGCCAACGGGCCCCGAAGCUAGGGCAAAUAGGACGUUCGAAGAGAGUGGUGAUAGAGGAUGAGGACUUGGAUGACGUCAUGAACAACAAUGGCCUCCCCAUAUCAAUCAAUAUCUCUCCUGUUGCCUAAACACUGUCAGACUGUCCAGACCUCAAGAAGCUAUCGUGCACAUUUGUGAAAUUCUGAGGCGAGUACCACUUCUUCUGGACCAUACCCAGUUCAGGUGCCCAUUGCAAAGUUUACAAUAGCAGCUUGCGCAUCACCAGUAGUUUAGCUCUUCCUGGAGGGAAGGUGGGUGUCCCAAGGAAAUAAAGAGAACACGGUGCAUCUCUGCUGCUGUUCUGGUUUUGAACGGGAGGGGAGCAAGUUGGAUAGAUUUGGAGCCAGACAGUCUGAAACAUAAGCACACACGAGAAGGCCCUACCCAUCAAGACCUGCCCCUUAAAAAUGAGUUGACCUAUGCUUUUUCAUUGUUUCACAUAUUAUUUUGACAAAUACACUUUAUUUUAGCCUUUGAUGGUCGACAACACUGUCUCGUUUUGGUGCAAGUGAAGUGUCUGUAAAAUCUGUUCUAAAACAUGAUAGAUAGAUAGACUUUCAUUUGUCAUGCACGUCCUAAUUAUAAGUUUAGUAAUCCUAAACCCUGCCUAUGUUGUAAUGUAUUUCAUUUUUACCCUUGAGUUACUAGACAAAGGAGUUCUCACUGUGAACUAGUGAACUUCUAUGUAUCCCUGAAUAGAGGUGUAAAGACAAUUUUUUGGGGGGAAUUAGCUUCUUGUCCAAUGUCCUUCACCAAUCACCAUAAUAAUCUAAUCUGGUCUAAAAAAAGAAUUGUACGACAUUCAGACAAGUUGCCUACCUCUGCUCUUGGUGUAUGGCGUAUCAUUCAUUUUGGUGGUUCAUGUAAAACCCAGAAUCAGAACGAUGAAGUAGAUCGCAACAUGGAGGAGAAAUUUGGUAUUUGGUGCAUGACUGACCGAGCUGUGACCGAGCUGUGAGGAAUACAUUGUUUUGAUAUGGAACCAUUGGUCAGUUUGGCUCUGACUUUUUCCCGAUAGCUGUAAAGUUAUACAAUUAUAUCACUAAAAGGGUUAGGCCUACUUCAACUCCAGUUACAGUUAUUCAAUUCUCAUUAAAACAAAAAUAAAUGAUAUGCUUGGACUGAUACUAAAGUGAGUGUUUUUUUUAAACUCUUUGCAUGAAAGAGUCUGAUAAGUGGCAUGUGUUAUUGUGAAACCUUGAUUAUACUUCUUGGAAUGUGAUAUGCUGUUGUACAGUGAUAGUACCACCAGAUGGAGAUAAAGUCGAAGGAACACAGUGCUCUGUCCAGAACUUUUGUCUCACUCAACUAGCACAGACUUGUAAUUCAUUUGGAAUAAAACCUGUUUGGGUAGUCUUUGGAAA